rnacentral:tRNA from 1 species
GGUGCCGUAGUGUAGUGGUUAUCAUGCGACGUUGUGGUUCAUCCCGCAGUCCCGUCUCGACCUGGGUUCGAUUCCCAGCGGCGCCA